rnacentral:rRNA from 1 species
UACGAAGGGGGCUAGCGUUGCUCGGAAUCACUGGGCGUAAAGGGUGCGUAGGCGGGUCUUUAAGUCAGGGGGGAAAUCCUGGAGCUCAACUCCAGAACUGCCUUUGAUACUGAAGAUCUUGAGUCCGGGAGAGGUGAGUGGAACUGCGAGUGUAGAGGUGAAAUUCGUAGAUAUUCGCAAGAACACCAGUGGCGAAGGCGGCUCACUGGCCCGGUACUGACGCUGAGGUGCGAAAGCGUGGGGAGCAAACAGG